rnacentral:rRNA from 1 species
CAUGUAGGCGGUCCUUUAAGUCUGGAGUGAAAAUGCGGGGCUCAACCCCGUAUGGCUUUGGAUACUGGGGGACUUGAGUGCAGGAGAGGAAAGGGGAAUUCCCAGUGUAGCGGUGAAAUGCGUAGAUAUUGGGAGGAACACCAGUGGCGAAGGCGCCUUUCUGGACUGUGUCUGACGCUGAGAUGCGAAAGCCAGGGUAGCGAACG